rnacentral:rRNA from 1 species
AUGACACGCACGUACGUCAACCACCUCCCGCGCCACGUGGAAAGCUCCCCGAUUCCUCCGCGCAGCUUAUCGAUCCCAUUCCCAGAUCGUCUCCACUCCGCUCACCGGAGUCAAGCAAGCGCCGCCAUGCAUCGGCCCCGCCGUCUUCCGCUGCUGCUCAUCCUCCUCGGCCUCCUCCCGGCCGUCGCGCGGGCGCUGCUCCCGCCGCCCCGCUUCCCGGGCCCCCACGCGCGGCCGCGGCCGCGGGCCGGGACGGGAGACGGGGUCGGCGGGGGCUACGAGUUCGAGACCCGCUACUUCCGGCAGCGGCUGGACCACUUCAGCUUCUCGGGCGAGGAGGAGUUCUUCCAGCAGCGGUACCUCGUGGGCCGCGCCGGCGCCGGCGGGUGGGCGGGCCCCGGCGGGCCCAUCUUCUUCUACUGCGGCAACGAGGGCGACAUCGCCUGGUUCGCCGCCAACUCCGGCCUCGUCUGGGACGCCGCCCCGCGCUUCGCCGCCCUCGUCGUCUUCGCCGAGCAUCGCUACUACGGCGAGUCCAUGCCGUUCGGCAGCAAAGACAAGGCCUACAACAAUUCCAGGUCCAUGGCGUACCUGACGGCCGAGCAAGCGCUCGCUGACUACGCCGUGCUGCUCACCGACCUCAAGAGGAACCUGUCCUCGGAAAGCAGCCCCGUGGUGCUCUUCGGGGGCUCAUACGGUGGAAUGCUUGCUGCUUGGAUGAGACUCAAGUACCCGCAUAUUGCUGUCGGGGCUCUCGCGUCGUCGGCUCCGAUCCUACAGUUUGAGGACAUUGUACCUGACACCAUAUUCUACGAUCUUGUUUCAAAUGAUUUUAAGAGGGAGAGUUUAAGCUGCUUCCAAACAAUAAAGGACUCAUGGAAAGAAUUAGAUGAGCAGGGAAAUGGGCAAGAUGGUCUUCUGAAACUAAGCAAAACAUUCCACCUUUGCCAGACCCUGAAUACCACGGGGGCCCUUUCGGAUUGGUUGAGCUCAGCAUACAGUUAUCUGGCCAUGGUGGAUUACCCAAUGCCGUCAGAGUUUCUCAUGCCUUUGCCUGCCAACCCAAUUAAGGAAGUAUGUAGAAAUAUUGACAAGCAACCAGAGGGGAGCAGUAUACUGGAACGAAUUUAUGCAGGAGUAAAUAUAUACUACAAUUAUACUGGUACGGUUGACUGCUUUGAUCUAGAUGAUGAUCCUCAUGGAAUGGGUGGAUGGGAUUGGCAGGCUUGUACUGAGAUGGUGAUGCCAAUGUCUUCUAGUGAAGGUCUUAGCAUGUUUCUACCAGAUGAAUUCGACUAUGCAUUGUAUGCCGAUGACUGUGUCAAAAACUUUGGUGUUAGGCCAAGGCCUCGAUGGAUCUCUACAGAGUUUGGUGGUCAUAAUAUUAGUUCUGUUCUGGAGAAAUUUGGUAGUAAUAUCAUAUUCUUCAAUGGACUUCUCGAUCCUUGGAGUGGUGGAGGCGUCCUGAAGAAUAUAUCUGAGAGUGUUGUUGCCAUUGUGGCUCCACUAGGAGCGCAUCACAUAGACCUGCGCCCCGCGACCAAGGAGGACCCGGAUUGGCUCGUAAGCCUGAGAGAAUCGGAACUCGAGAUCAUAUCUGGCUGGCUAUCGGAUCACUACGGAGCAAGAGGGGGCGCGCUCUUUCAGCGCGCAACCAACAAGGACUCGGCUGCGUCAUAA